UACGUAGGUGACAAGCGUUGUCCGGAUUUACUGGGCGUAAAGAGCGCGCAGGCGGUCGUUCAAGUCGAGUGUGAAAGCCCCCGGCUCAACUGGGGAGGGUCACUCGAUACUGAUCGACUCGAAGGCAGGAGAGGGAAGUGGAAUUCCCGGUGUAGUGGUGAAAUGCGUAGAUAUCGGGAGGAACACCAGUGGCGAAGGCGACUUCCUGGCCGUGUUCUGACGCUGAGGCGCGAAAGCUAGGGGAGCAACGGG
rnacentral:rRNA from 1 species